GUUGAUGUUCCAGGAGGGAUAAGCCAAGUGGCAAAUAAUUUAGGUAAACUAUAAAAAUGGUUAGAGUUGUGGCAACUGACAUUUAAUGUGAAUAAAAAAAAACUGUGUUUUAACUUUAGUUUACUUUUUACAGGCAGCAGGGGGCUACCUGUCAUUACAGGCCCUCCCCCUGCUGGCACUGCUAUGGAUAAGUGCAAGAUAAUGCAUCUUGAAAAGGAACUUAACAUGUAUAGCUUGGAGGAAAGACGAGACAGGGGGGAUAUGAUAGAAAUAUUUAAAUAGAUAAAGGGAAUCAACACAGUAAAGGAAGAGACCAUAUUUAAAAGAAGAAAAACUACCACAACAAGAGGACAUAGUCUUAAAUUAGAGGGGCAAAGGUUUAAAAAUAAAAUCCGGAAGUAUUACUUUACUGAGAGUGUAGUGGAUGCAUGGAAUAGGCUUCCAGCUGAAGUGGUAGAGGUUAACACAGUAAAGGAGAUUAAGCAUGCGUGGAAUAUGCAUAAGGCUAUCCUAACUAUAAGAUAAGUCAGGGACUAAUAAAAGUAUUUUUAAAAAUUGGGCAGACUAGAUGGGCUGAAUGGUUCUUAUCUGCCGUCACAUUCUAUGUUUCUAUG